AAACAACUCUCGACAAUGGAUAUCUUGGCUCUCGCAUCGAUGAAGAACGUAGUGAAAUGCGAUACUUGGUGUGAAUUGCAGAAUCCCGUGAACCAUCGAGUCUUUGAACGCAAGUUGCNCUUGAAGCCAUUUGGCUAAGGGCACGUCUGCUUGGGUGUUAUGC
rnacentral:rRNA from 1 species